rnacentral:lncRNA from 1 species
ACUACACUGUGAACCAAGCUCAACUGCUGUGAGAGACCUUUACACAAAAUAUGUUUAAGAGCUGUGUCUGCAGGGUGAUGCUGCCAUGUUUUCCAGAACUUCAGGAAAUGUGACAGCAGCAGUGAUCCUCAUCCUGGCAGCAUGUUUCUGGAGACUCGAUCAUACUGGCGUGUCAGUGACUCCAACCCUACCAGCUCUUACACCUGGUACUAUAUGACAGGAAGUGGCAUCAUACCUAUCAUACAUCAUAGGAGGAAGAGAGGAGCAGAGAGAGACACACAUAUUCAGAGUCUAAAUCCUGCAGAUGAUACUUACACAGCUCUGAACCUCACCACCAUCAGCUCAGACUAUGAUACUCUGCAGCAUGUCAGAGACUCUGCCAGUGACACUAACCCCACCACCAUCAGCUCAGACUAUGAUACCCUACAGAGUGUGAGGAUUUAAGUCCAGCAGAGAAGAGCUUCAGCAGCAGAUUUUUAAAAGUACAGAGACUUUUCAAAUAUAAACGACAGAAAGUUUCAUACACAACUCUGCGACAUGGUUUCCCAGACAAUUAAAGGAAAAAUAGUCUACGGUUAGGCUUAAUCCCUGUUCCUGUGUCAGUUAACAUCUCUUUUUGUUCUCUCUUACACACUGAAUAAUCACACAUCAGUUCUAUUUUGAGUUUUAGCUGUUCAUUAUGAGUUUUUCUAAUCAUGUGAUCUUAAUCCUCCUCAAAGAUCUGAACAAGAAUUAAACUGCAGCAUCAAUCUCACAUGAAAGAACUCAGAGAAAGUGUUUUAAUCAGGAUUUUAGCAAAUCAUCUUCUUCUGCUUGUUUUGUGUUUAUUAUGUUAUACUCUUAAUUUAAAGAGCAUUCCAAACACAUAUUUGUAAACAACUAAUGUACCUGUAUUUGCACAGAGAAUUGCACAGAUUAAGGUGAUAUUGGUCCACAUCUUUAACUGUACAAAAGUGUGGAGUUCUCAUGGUUGGGUUUUUCAUUUAAAUCUCCACACGUUCUCUAUUGGGGACCAGUCAGGUCUGCAUUCAGACCAGCUUAGAACCUGUAACUACAGUUUCACACCCUGCUUUUGAAAAGUGCAGCAUGUGGUUUUAUUUUGUCCUGUUUAAAAUGCAUGGACACCCCUGGGAAAGAUGUGGUUCUAAAAUCUUAAUGUACAUACUUUACUGCAUUAGUGUUAAGCUACACAAGUGUACUGACACACCCUCAUACCGUCCCAGACCCUGUCUUUGGUCUGGCUGUCAGAAGUAAACAGUCCAUUUUUAUCACAAAAAUAUAAUAAAUGCAAUACUACUUUAUUUAAUCA